rnacentral:rRNA from 1 species
UCCGUAGGUGAACCUGCGGAAGGAUCAUUAACAAAUUACAACGUUUGUUGAAACACACUCUGCGUAUCUUUACAUGUUGCUUCCCCCCGCCCAGGGCUCGCUUCCGGACGGGGGGGAGGUAGCCUCAAACUCGUGCAAUCGAUGCGAUCGGUCUGAACAAAAACCUGUUUGUAUUCAAACGUUUAAAACUUUCAACAACGGAUCUCUUGGUUCUCCCAUCGAUGAAGAACGCAGCGAAAUGCGAUAAGUAGUGUGAAUUGCAGAAUUCAGUGAAUCAUCGAAUCUUUGAACGCACAUUGCGCCCUCUGGUAUUCCGGGGGGCAUGCCUGUUCGAGCGUCAUCAAAACCACUCAGGUUGCGGUUUUUCGAAGCCCCACCUUGGUCUUGGGCCUGAGGGUGUCAGAACCCUCUGCCUGCAAUGCAGUGGGCGGAUAUUCCGGCGUGGCAAGAGCGUGAUAAACACUUUGUUCGCGAUUGCAGGCCGCAACGUCCCGCCAUCAUGAACCCCCAAAUCCAUUUACAAGUUUGACCUCGGAUCAGGUAGGGAUACCCGCUGAACUUAAGCAUAUCA